GGAGGGUAUAUAGCUCAGUGGUAGAGCACAUGCUUAGCAUGCAUGAGGUCCUGGGUUCAAUUCCCAGUACCUCCA
rnacentral:tRNA from 1 species